AGUUUGAUCUCAGACUGCUGUGCUAGCAAUCAGCGAGACUCCGUGGGCGUAGGACCCUCCGAGCCAGUUCUUAAGAUCUGCUAUGAAAAAUAGAUAAGGAUUUUGAAGUUAUCCAUGGACUUUUGGAGUAUUGUUAAUAAGAAGUCCAGAAUCAUCAUGACUUUCAGUCUUUGAUAUGUGACUUGUUCUUUCUAGAACCUUAUGAAAAAUAUCCAACCCGAGCAGGAUAAAACUGAUCAUCCUGAGGAUAUUGCCCUUGGAGUUAAUUUUUUGAGAGAAAUAAAACAAUAAACAUCAUAAGACACAAACCCCAAGCAACUGAUCUCACUGUUAAAAUCCAACCUGAGAACAAUGGAAUGGAUUGCGCUCUCUAGAAGAAAAUUCUGAGAAAAAAAUUCAUAUGCAAGAAAUUUACUGGGGAGUGCUCUCAGACUCUGAACUGUGAAGAAAAAGGAUUGGACAGGGCUAGUAGAAGUCUAUAUGUUGUGGUGGAAAACAACCUCAGCCCUAUAGUCCAACAUUUGCCUAUCAAAACUUGUCCUAUGAUUUACAAAACUAGAACCUCACUGCCCCACCAAAAGAUGAAGUGGCCCCCAGACCCCAGGUCUAAU
rnacentral:lncRNA from 10 species